GACGAACGCUGGCGGCGUGCUUAACACAUGCAAGUCGAACGGAAAGGCCCUGCUUUUGUGGGGUGCUCGAGUGGCGAACGGGUGAGUAACACGUGAGUAACCUGCCCUUGACUUUGGGAUAACUUCAGGAAACUGGGGCUAAUACCGGAUAGGAGCUCCUGCUGCAUGGUGGGGGUUGGAAAGUUUCGGCGGUUGGGGAUGGACUCGCGGCUUAUCAGCUUGUUGGUGGGUAGUGGCUUACCAAGGCUUUGACGGGUAGCCGGCCUGAGAGGGUGACCGGCCACAUUGGGACUGCGAUACGGCCCAGACUCCUACGGGAGGCAGCAGUGGGGAAUAUUGCACAAUGGGCGGAAGCCUGAUGCAGCAACGCCGCGUGCGGGAUGACGGCCUUCGGGUUGUAAACAGCUUUAGCCUGUGACGAAGCGUGAGUGACGGUAAUGGGUAAAGAAGCACCGGCUAACUACGUG
rnacentral:rRNA from 1 species